GGGAGGCAGCAGUGGGGAAUAUUGCACAAUGGGCGCAAGCCUGAUGCAGCCAUGCCGCGUGUAUGAAGAAGGCCUUCGGGUUGUAAAGUACUUUCAGUCGUGAGGAAGGCGUUGUCGUUAAUAGCGGCAUCGUUUGACGUUAGCGACAGAAGAAGCACCGGCUAACUCCGUGCCAGCAGCCGCGGUAAUACGGAGGGUGCGAGCGUUAAUCGGAAUUACUGGGCGUAAAGCGCAUGCAGG
rnacentral:rRNA from 1 species